GCAAGUGUGAACGGGGGCAGGUAGGCCGGGCUCCUCUUGGCGCUCCCGUGCGAGCUGGAGGCUAGGCGGGCGCCGGGGCUGAUCGGGAGCAGAUCUAAUCCCCGCUGCCCCCGGCCGCGAUUGGGGGCCUGGCUGCAAUGUCCCGGGCUCAGGCAGGCAGCAUUCACCCCGCAGACAGGCCGCUCCGGCGGGGAGCCCAGAGCAGGGGUAUCUUGUGGUCCGCACCGUUUCCCAGGAGAUGGGGGUCUUGCCCCGGGUACGGCGCCUUGUGACUGCGCUGAUCUCCAGCCCGGGACACGGGCACCAGCAGCCCGAGCUUUUGCGAACAUCUGCCUAAGGAAAAUGCCUCCUGCACAGUGAAUUGACUCCCCAGAGCCGGGCUGCCACGUGCCCAUGGAAGGGUCGCCCCGCCCCACCACCCUGGCCCCAAAGCCCAGGGAGAGUUGGCUCUGGUCUGCCCCCAGCUCCAAUUUCCAGGGAGGUGCGGGGGAGAGGGGAACUAUCCCUUCACCUGGAGAGACGUGUUGGCUCUCCUUGGCUGUUCUCAGCCAUCAAUCCUUGCCUCUUGUUCUCCUUCUUUGCAGACUAUAUUACUUUAAUUUGCUGCCUAGGGUUUUUAAAAAACAUGUAAAAGGGGAACAUUUCUAGCCGAGAAAUAUUUCUAAAGCUUUUUCCCCCUUGGGUCUUAAGUCUUAACCCAGCACAAAGUAUGAUUCACCUUGGCUGCCUUGUGCUGAAGCAGCUAUGUGUGAGACACACACCACCUUCUAGUCCCAUCAGCUUCCAUGCCAGUACAAGACAAAGAGGAGGGGAGGUGUGCUGGACCUCUUCAUUUUUGAAUAGGUGGGCUCCAUUCCUGUAUUCCUUCGCUUUCCCUUAAGGGAGGAAUGCAAACUUUGGUGGAAACUUGAGGGAAAUAAUAGCUCAGAAAAACCAGCCCAACACUUCUGCCCCUAUUAAAGAGUUUUGCAAAUGUCCAACUUGUACUAAUUUUUUUUUACAGCUACAUUCGCUGCUGUUCCCUGCAAAAAAUGGACCUGUGUUAGUUUAUUAACCUAAACAUUAGGUAUUAAAGACCUAUGAGUGACACAGGAUGACAAAAAGCUGUAUUUUUCCAAUAUACACAAGCACACAUUUAAUAACCUUCUAUUGCAUCUCAGCGAGGCCUUCUCUCUGAUGGUUCCCAUGGCAACUGAGAUAAAAAAGCAGCCAUUUUCCAUAUCUCUAUGAAAGUCUAUUAUAUUGCAGGAUUAGUUCAUCUUCUGCUAAGGUCAAACACAAAGUCAUACAACCUGAAAUAUUUAGAAUCCAUGUACAUUCAUUUUUAUAUGCCCUUUCAUUUUCCACCAGAGUGGGCUCCUCUGAGGUUUUAUUCCCCAGAAAAUGCAAAGCAAAGCACUAAAAAAACAUGAUUAGCCGUUGAUGAAAAGUUCUUUUUUAAAAAAAAAAUAACUAUUGUUACAUAGAUAGUGUAUUACCCAUUUAUCUCUAUCAACAGCAAUGAUUUCUAGUGAUAUUGAACAGCUAAUUGGGCUCUUUGAGAUUUGCAGGUGAAGGCCGCCACCUUCUGGCCAGCAUUGGAGAAGCAUCCGAGUUUCCUAAGCAAAAGCGCUUGGUUUGUUUAUGGUGCAGUAGGACUCAGAAGUUAAGCCCGGAAAGGAGAACCCAUUUCAUGGCCAACUAGACUAGAAAGCUGCACUUAAGGUUGUUCUGCUACAGCUAUCAUGUGCCAGAGAGAUAUGAAGAGUGUUCCUGGUUUGUCAGAAAGCCAAGAGACCAGCUCGUGGAUUGGAAAGACCCAGUUAUACUUUUGGCCUUCACAACAUCCCCUGGCACUGAGUUCCACAGGCUGAUGGCAUGCCCCCUUGUUAUGGGUGUCCAUCCUCUUCAGGAGAUAGUAGUGACACUGGGCGGCUGGCAGCCCUGGAAGCAGCAGUGGCAACAGAAGGUGGGAAUGACGAGGAGGUGGACAGCAGCGUAUUGGAGGCCAGGCCGCAGGCUUUCAGCACAGACUCAGAACACCAGCCUGGUAACAUUACAAUAUCUCCACUGUGCUGUGUCACUGCUUUUGUGCUCUGAGUGUGUCACUUACCUUUUGAAAUGAAAUUCUUAGAUCUCUCUGGCCUGAAAUGGAGUAAUAGUUGUUUGUGUGGGCCUCCACAGGGCCAGCGUCUGGUCUCAUUUACAACUGCAUUAGUUUCUAGUACUUGUGGUUGCAGAGAAAAGCUGGAGAAUCUGAUCUGCGUGCACCCUGAAAGCUCCAAAAGAGAGAGGCAAACUAA